rnacentral:rRNA from 1 species
AGUGAACGCUGGCGGUAGGCCUAACACAUGCAAGUCGAACGGCAGCACAGUAAGAGCUUGCUCUUACGGGUGGCGAGUGGCGGACGGGUGAGGAAUACAUCGGAAUCUACCUUUUCGUGGGGGAUAACGUAGGGAAACUUACGCUAAUACCGCAUACGACCUACGGGUGAAAGCAGGGGAUCUUCGGACCUUGCGCGAUUGAAUGAGCCGAUGUCGGAUUAGCUAGUUGGCGGGGUAAAGGCCCUCCAAGGCGACGAUCCGUAGCUGGUCUGAGAGGAUGAUCAGCCACACUGGAACUGAGACACGGUCCAGACUCCUACGGGAGGCAGCAGUGGGGAAUAUUGGACAAUGGGCGCAAGCCUGAUCCAGCCAUACCGCGUGGGUGAAGAAGGCCUUCGGGUUGUAAAGCCCUUUUGUUGGGAAAGAAAAGCAGCAGGUUAAUACCCCGCUGUUCUGACGGUACCCAAAGAAUAAGCACCGGCUAACUUCGUG